AGGGGAAUAUUGGACAAUGGGCGAAAGCCUGAUCCAGCCAUGCCGCGUGUGUGAAGAAGGGCUUCGGAUUGUAAAGCACUUUAAGUUGGGAGGAAGGGCAUUAACCUAAUACGUUAGUGUUUUGACGUUACCGACAGAAUAAGCACCGGCUAACUCUGUGCCAGCAGCCGCGGUAAUACAGAGGGUGCAAGCGUUAAUCGGAAUUACUGGGCGUAAAGCGCGCGUAGGUGGUUUGUUAAGUUGGAUGUGAAAUCCCCGGGCUCAACCUGGGAACUGCAUUCAAAACUGACUGACUAGAGUAUGGUAGAGGGUGGUGGAAUUUCCUGUGUAGCGGUGAAAUGCGUAGAUAUAGGAAGGAACACCAGUGGCGAAGGCGACCACCUGGACUAAUACUGACACUGAGGUGCGAAAGCGUGGGGAGCAAACA
rnacentral:rRNA from 1 species